GGGCCCAGCCCUGUUCCUGCUCCGGCUCCUGCGGGGAUGGAUGCUUCACGCAGUAAGCGACCUAAGUCGCGGAAGCGUAGACACCCGGCUUUUCCCGCGUGCUCUAUCGGGCUCCCCUGGACACGGAGGGUGGAGCAGAAAGAGCAGAGGGGCCGGUGGGAGCCAUGGGGAGUCCGCCUAGCUCCAGAGGACACCUUACCUGGAUCCGCCUUUGUAGCCUCCUCCUGGCUCUGGGGGCUGUCCUGUGGGGUCCGAGUAGCUGAAAGACAGCCCCUCCAUGAAAGUGCUGCUUUCAACAUCUGCCACAUUUGCAAGAAGAGCAAAGGUGGCCCAUUUGAGACCACCCUUGAACUAAACCAUCCAGUGAGCCCCUGAGGUCGGGACAGAAGUGGCCAUGACCUUCCUCAAGCAGGGACUGUGGUGGAGCCCACCUUAUCCAGCACAAGGUGGCCUGCUGACUUCUGGUGACAGUGAUGCCAACUUCCUGGCUGUCCAAGGUUCAAAUCUUGGUCUUAAUCCUCCUGGCCUUCUCUCAUCAAUGGCCAGAGCCACCCUAGCUAACAAGGUGCCCAGGGACUCCGGGGUGGGAGAAGUCCAGCUUCUUCUUAGCUGAGGACAUUUGAGUCUCGUCACAGCCCCCAAAAGAAUACUCAUUUUUGUAGCUGGAGGGCCUGGCCUCUGUCUAUCUUUGCUUUUCCAGAAGCUGACAAGUACCUGCCGGAAAAACUGCCUCUUUUCCCUCCCGUGCUUGGAGCAGGCAUUGCUGACAGAUCACAGCUGCUGGGCCCAAAGGUCCCUUUGCACGCGGGACUUCAGGAAGUUGCUGCUGACCUAUGGGAGUUGGUGCAGAAAGAUGAAAUUUGUUAUCCUUGGCUGUAUCAACUCUCUCUCCUCUCCUUGGUGGUGAUAGUUUUGUUCUUAAAAGCCUCUUGUGAGAGAAUUUGUGGAUGAAGAACCUGUAAGAUCACAAGUGAAACAAUUUAUUGAUGUCAAUAGAUUUAUACACGUUCAUUAAGAAUCAAAACUAAACUAAAACAUCAGUCUGACUAAAGAGACCACCACAGAUAUUUCAUAUGCUGUACAUCAGUAACAAAGGGUACCAAAUAGUUAAUAUCCAUGUACUAGUCACAUGAGAAAUGUUUUAGGGUCAUUGACCAGUGUAGUCAGUACAGUGGUCCCAUGGUAUUUGUGGGGGAUUGGUUCCAGGAAUCUCUUGGACACCAACUCCGUGGAUGAUCAGACAAUAUAAAAUGUGGGUCAGGUGCGGUGGCUCAUACCUGUAAUCCCAGCAUUUUGCGAGAAUCACUUGAGGCCAGUUCAAGAUCAGCCUGUGCAACAUAGCAAGACUCCACCUCUAAAAAAAAAAAAAAAAAAAAAAA
rnacentral:lncRNA from 1 species